GUGGGGAAUAUUGCGCAAUGGGGGAAACCCUGACGCAGCAACGCCGCGUGAUUGAAGAAGGCCUUCGGGUUGUAAAGAUCUUUAAUUGGGGACGAAAUAAAUGACGGUACCCAAAGAAUAAGCUCCGGCUAACUACGUGCCAGCAGCCGCGGUAAUACGUAGGGAGCAAGCGUUAUCCGGAUUUACUGGGUGUAAAGGGCGAGUAGGCGGGCCGACAAGUUGGGAGUGAAAUCCGGGGGCUUAACCCCCGAACUGCUUUCAAAACUGUUGGUCUUGAGUGAUGGAGAGGCAGGCGGAAUUCCCAGUGUAGCGGUGAAAUGCGUAGAUAUUGGGAGGAACACCAGUGGCGAAGGCGACUUACUGGACUGAAACUGACGCUGAGGCUCGAAAGCGUGGGGAGCGAACAGGAUUAGAAACCCUUGUAGUCC
rnacentral:rRNA from 1 species